rnacentral:rRNA from 1 species
GACAGAGGGUGCAAACGUUGUUCGGAUUUACUGGGCGUAAAGCGCGUGUAGGCGGCUUUGCAAGUCGGAUGUGAAAGCCCACGGCUCAACCGUGGAAGUGCAUCCGAAACUGCAUGGCUGGAGUCCCGGAGAGGAAGGUGGAAUGCUUGGUGUAGAGGUGAAAUUCGUAGAUAUCAAGCAGAACACCUGCGGCGAAGGCGGCCUUCUGGACGGUGACUGACGCUGAGACGCGAAAGCGUGGGGAGCAACAGGG